GUAAUAAGCCUAAAUACCCUAAAAGCACGAGAUCCUAUCUGAACUUGGAAGCGAACAAAGGGAAGCCCUGGUUUGUACUUAGAUAGAAGAACACCUAGAAAUACCAGGUGCUAUAGACU
rnacentral:rRNA from 1 species